AACGCACCUUGCGCCUUUUGGUAUUCCGAAAGGCAUGCCUGUUUGAGUGUCAUGAAAUCUCAACCCUUCUAGGUUUUUGACCUGGUUGGGCUUGGACAUGGGUGUCUGCCAGUAAUGGCUCACCUCAAAUGACUUAGUGGAACAUCCCGCAUCAGUGUUAGACGUAAUAAGUUUCGUCUCUCCUUGUGGUGAUGACCGCUCAUAACCUGCCAUCGCGCACUUUUGACUUUGACCUCAAAUCAGGUAGGGCUACCCGCUGAACUUAA
rnacentral:misc_RNA from 1 species